GUACACGCUGUGACUAGCAUAUCAAUAAGCGGAGGAAAAGAAACUAACAAGGAUUCCCCUAGUAACGGCGAGUGAAGCGGGAAGAGCUCAAAUUUGAAAUCUUAAAGGGUUUCCCUUUACGAAUUGUAGUUUAAAGAAGUGUUUUCUGUUGAGGUUUUGGUAAAAGUUCUUUGGAAUAGGACAUCAUAGAGGGUGAGAAUCCCGUAUUUGACCUUUACUUUCAACUUUGUGAUACACUUUCAAAGAGUCGGAUUGUUUGGGAAUGCAGUCCAAAAUGGGUGGUAAAUUUCAUCUAAAGCUAAAUAUUGGCGAGAGACCGAUAGCGAACAAGUACCGUGAGGGAAAGAUGAAAAGAACUUUGAAAAGAGAGUUAAACAGUACGUGAAAUUGUCAAAAGGGAAGCGUUUGACACCAGUGUUGUUUUUCUGAAAAUCAAUUAAAGAACUGUUUAUGCUAAGUUGUUUAGACUUUAUCAGCUAACUGUUUAGUUUUGAGCUUUUCUUUAAUGCACUUUUCAGUUAACAAGUCAACAUCAAUUUCUUUUGCUGUAAAAAAGCUUGAGGAAGGUGGCUUGAGAUUCGUCUUAAGUGUUUAUAGCCUCUUGCCUAUGCAGUCGGAGAGAUUGAGGUCUGCAGCGUAGAUCCUUCGGGGCUAAAUGCAUUUGUGCUAAGUUAUAGCAUUUUAUAGACAACUUGUUGACAUAUGAUUUGUCUUGUAGCUUACUCGCUUAUGUUAUUUUACCUACGCUUAGGAUGUUGACAGCAGUAUAGACUGU
rnacentral:rRNA from 1 species